UGCGCGCAAGGGCGGGCGCCCGCGGGCGAGCAGCGUGACGCAGCGACGGCCCGCCCGGGCUUCCGGGGCAUCACCCGGUCGGCGCGGUCGCGGCGCGCCGAGGGCCCGACGCCUGGCGGAGAAUCAGGGUUCGACUCCGGAGAGCGGGCCUGAGAGACGGCCCGCACAUCCAAGGACGGCAGCAGGCGCGGAACUUGCCCAAUGCGAGGCGCGCGAGGCAGCGACGGGGAGUGCGCGAGCGAGGCGGGCCCACAGCCCCCGCCGCGGAGCC
rnacentral:rRNA from 1 species